AAGUAGGCAAAUCCGCUUUGAUAAUGCUGGGAUGUGAUGGGGAGCGAAAUUUAGUAGCGAAGUAGCUGAUUUCACACUGUCAAGAAAAGUCUCUAUCGAGGUUAAAGGUACCCGUACCGCAAACCGACACAGGUGGGUGAGGAGAGUAUCCUAAGGCCAGCGAGAGAACUGUUGUUAAGGAACUCGGCAAAAUGACCCCGUAACUUAGGGAUAAGGGGUGCCACCAUCAGGUGGCCGCAGAGAAUAGGCCCAAGCGACUGUUUACCAAAAACAUAGGUUUCUGCUAAGUCGCAAGACGAUGUAUAGGAGCUGACGCCUGCCCGGUGCUGGAAGGUUAAGGGGAUCUGUUAGAGCAAUCGAAGCAGUGAACUUAAGCCCCAGUAAACGGCGGCCGUAACUAUAACGGUCCUAAGGUAGCGAAAUUCCUUGUCGGGUAAGUUCCGACCCGCACGAAAGGCGUAACGAUUUGGGCACUGUCUCAACAACAGACUCGGUGAAAUUGUAAUUCCGGUGAAGAUGCCGGAUACCUGCGACAGGACGGAAAGACCCCAUGGAGCUUUACUGUAGCUUGACAUUGGGUCUUGGUACUACAUGUACAGGAUAGGUGGGAGGCUUUGAAACCAGGACGCCAGUUUUGGCGGAGCCAUCCUUGGGAUACCACCCUUGUAGUACUGGGACUCUAACCAUAGGCCAUGAAUCUGGUCUUGGGACACUGUCAGGUGGGCAGUUUGACUGGGGCGGUCGCCUCCCAAAAGGUAACGGAGGCGCUCAAAGGUUCUCUCAGUACGGUCGGAAAUCGUACGUAGAGUGUAAAGGCAAAAGAGAGCUUGAUUGCAAGACAUACAGGUCGAGCAAGGAUGAAAAUCGGACUUAGUGAUCCGGUGGUUCUGCGUGGAAGGGCCAUCGCUCAACGGAUAAAAGCUACCCUGGGGAUAACAGGCUUAUCUCCCCCAAGAGUCCACAUCGACGGGGAGGUUUGGCACCUCGAUGUCGGCUCAUCACAUCCUGGGGCUGUAGUAGGUCCCAAGGGUUGGGCUGUUCGCCCAUUAAAGUGGUACGCGAGCUGGGUUCAGAACGUCGUGAGACAGUUCGGUCCCUAUCCGUCGCAGGCGUAGGAAAUUUGAGAAGACCUGUCCUUAGUACGAGAGGACCGGGAUGGACGUACCUCUGGUGUACCAGUUGUCCUGCCAAGGGCAUGGCUGGGUAGCUAUGUACGGAAUGGAUAAGCGCUGAAAGCAUCUAAGCGCGAAGCCAACUUCAAGAUAAGAUUUCCCACCGCAAGGGUAAGACCCCAGAAAGACUAUCUGGUUGAUAGGUCGAAGGUGUAAGUGCAGCAAUGUAUUUAGCUUAUCGAUACUAAUAGGUCGAGGACUUGACCAA
rnacentral:rRNA from 1 species